CGCGUAGGCGGGAUGGCAAGUCGGUCGUGAAAUCCCUCGGCUCAACUGAGGAGCGUCGAUCGAUACUGCCGUUCUUGAGGGUUGCAGAGGAGACUGGAAUUCCCGGUGUAGCGGUGAAAUGUGUAGAGAUCGGGAGGAACACCGGUGGCGAAGGCGGGUCUCUGGGCAACUCCUGACGCUGAGGCGCGAAAGCGUGGGAGCAAACG
rnacentral:rRNA from 1 species